rnacentral:rRNA from 1 species
GUGUACACAAGACAGAGCUCUCAUCAAGUUUCAUUAAACUUUACAAUUAAAUCCACCUUCAAAGAUAAUUUCAAUAUCUUAUCCGUUUUAAUCUAAUAAAUGUAACCCACCUCUAUCUUUUAUAUAAGCUGCACCUUUACUUGAAGUCUGUGAUUUUUUCAUGAAUGAAAGUUUUCUAAAGAAACUAACUGACAACAGCGGUAUACAAACUGAAUUCUAAUAAAAGUAAAGAAAUUCGUGGUUCAUCGUUUACAGGGCAGGUUCCUCUAAAUGGCUAUCUUGCCGCCAAAUCCGUUAAAUUUCAUAUUUAUUACUAUUCCAAAAUUAUUUAAUUAUAAGUA